UACAUAGGGGGCGAGCGUUAUCCGGAUUUAUUGGGCGUAAAGAGCUCGUAGGCGGCUAUCGAAGUCGGGUGUGAAACCCCAACGCUUAACGUUGGGUCUGCAUUCGAUACUGGGUGGCUUGAGUCUGGUAGGGGGACCUGGAAUUCCUGGUGUAGCGGUGGAAUGCGCAGAUAUCAGGAGGAACACCGGUGGCGAAGGCGGGGUCCUGGGCCAGUACUGACGCUGAGGAGCGAAAGCGUGGGGAGCAAACAGG
rnacentral:rRNA from 1 species